rnacentral:lncRNA from 1 species
GGCGGUAUCUUCAUGUGGAUGUGCGUGACAUUUGGUGCUGAAAACCUGGGACAGGAGGACUCCUUUGGGAGACCAGCCCCCUGUCCUCGCCCUCACUCCAUGAGGAGAUCCACCUACGACCUUGGGUCCUCAGACCAGCCAGCCCAAGGAACAUCUCACCAAUUUCAAAUCGGAUCUCCUUGGCUCAACAGCUGAAGACUGACGCUGCCCAAUCGCUUUGGAAGCUCCGGGACUAUCACGGACCCCGAGCUUCGAGUAACUCUUACAGUGGAGGGGUCUUGCUCCGUCACCUAGGCUGGAAUGCAGUGGUGCGAUCUUGGCUCAUUGCAACCUCCACCUCCCGGGUUCAAGUGAUUCUUCUGCCUCAGCCUCCUGAGUUUCGAGGAUUACAGACACUGUUUUUUACAAAUCGAAGAUCUGUGGCAGCCCUGUGUUGAACUAGUCGCCUCCUGAAGCCAUGGGAAAUCACAGUGCUUUGGUAUCUGGAGAGAGGCGA